ACUGCCACACCUGUGGUGGUGGAUUUUAUUAAUAUAAGAACAUCUACAACAUGCAACAAUAAUCUAAAAGGUUGAAUUAUAAAAAAGGUUUCAGACCCUUUCCAAAUACUGUCCGACAAAAAAUUCACUUCACUAGCAAUUAUAUAUCUUUAUUGGUCAAAAAUACACUAUCGGAAAAUAGCCUCAAAUAGAUUACUAUAUUUGUUAGCUACCUAAAUCUUCUCCCCCACUACCCAAUCAUAUGGGUGAGUAGGGGGCCUCUACUUUUUAGUUGGGUUGGUUUCUUCCCCCGCCAUGCCCAGACCCCACACUCCAAGGCUAAUCUCACCUCCUCCCUACGGCCUCAUUGCGCUACUUAGGCUCCUACCUUCUCCCCACUAAAUCCCGUUGAUCUCUUCCCUGCCCUAUCUCGACUUCUCCUUGCCUGACACCUCCUCCUAGCUCAUGGGUUGUUGCCUCCACACUCAGCAUCGCUGCCUCCAUACCCAACUCUGGCACCUUCCCAGCUGAUUUGACUUUUUUCCUGCCCGACCACAACUUGUUCCCACUCAAUCCUGCUGCUGGCCUGCCCAACCUUAGUUUGCUUAACCCUAACUCGUCCCUACCCGAUCCCACCGCCACCCCGCUCGACCUCGGCUCAUUGCCGCCCAACCCGACUGCUCCACAUGCGCCGCCGCUGCGGCCUCCUUCCCGCCCAAUGGCGAACCAACCCUGUAGGAUGGUAUUCCUUUGUCAUCGUGUUUUCGCUCUAUAUGUCAUUGGGAUUCCUUGAGAAUUGAUUCCUAUAUCAUUCUAAACUUUUUUAUACUAUAUAAUAUCCUUUCAAGAUAAUUUGCAAUGCAUUAUGAAGGAACCUACACACA
rnacentral:lncRNA from 1 species